CCUACGGGAGGCAGCAGUGAGGAAUAUUGGUCAAUGGACGCAAGGCUGAACCAGCCAUGCCGCGUGCAGGAAGACGGCUCUAUGAGUUGUAAACUGCUUUUAUACGAGGAUAAACGCAGAUACGCGUAUCUGUCUGCAAGUAUCCUACGAAUAAGCAUCGGCUAACUCCGUGCCAGCAGCCGCGGUAAUACGGAGGAUUCAAGCGUUAUCCGGAUUUAUUGGGUUUAAAGGGUGCGUAGGCGGUCGGAUAAGUUAGCGGUGAAAGCCCGAGGCUCAACUACGGAAUUGCCUUUGAUACUGUUCGGCUAGAGAGUAGUUGCGGUAGGCGGAAUGUAUGGUGUAGCGGUGAAAUGCUUAGAGAUCAUACAGAACACCGAUUGCGAAGGCAGCUUACCAAGCUACUUCUGACGUUGAGGCACGAAAGCGUGGGGAUCAAACAGGAUUAGAUACCCGAGUAGUC
rnacentral:rRNA from 1 species